rnacentral:rRNA from 1 species
CCUACGGGUGGCAGCAGUGGGGAAUAUUGCACAAUGGGGGAAACCCUGAUGCAGCGACACCGCGUGAGUGAAGAAGUAUUUCGGUACGUAAAGCUCUAUCAGCAGGGAAGAAAAUGACGGUACCUGACUAAGAAGCCCCGGCUAACUACGUGCCAGCAGCCGCGGUAAUACGUAGGGGGCAAGCGUUAUCCGGAUUUACUGGGUGUAAAGGGAGCGUAGACGGCUAAUCAAGUCAGAAGUGAAAACCCAGGGCUCAACCUUGGGACUGCUUUUGAAACUGAGUAGCUAGAGUGCAGGAGAGGUAAGCGGAAUUCCUAGUGUAGCGGUGAAAUGCGUAGAUAUUAGGAGGAACACCAGUGGCGAAGGCGGCUUACUGGACUGUAACUGACGUUGAGGCUCGAAAGCGUGGGGAGCAAACAGGAUUAGAUACCCUUGUAGUC